rnacentral:rRNA from 1 species
CUAACGGCUGAACCAGCAACUUGGAGGAAUGUAUAGCAAUAGCUGAUUGCACCAACAAAUACUUGAUGCAAUAUUGACUCUGUCAAAUAAAAUUCUAGGUAGAACUAUGAUAAUGACAUCGUCUGCCUAUGUGUCUUGACCAAAUUACGUGCCAGCAGUCGCGGUAAUACGUAGAAGACUAGUGUUAUUCAUCUUUAAUAGGUUUAAAGGGUACCUAGACGGUAAAUCAAGCCUUCACAGGGACUAAUUUACUAGAGUUACUUACGAGGGGGUAUUAAAGUACUGCAGGUGUAGAGAUGAAAUUCUGUCAUACCUCAUUUCAAAAGAAAAAUUAUGGCACAGGUAUAGGUGAAAGCAUCCCCUUAUGUGAUAACUGACGUUGAAGGACGAAGGCUUUGUGUCGCGAACAGGAUUAGAUACCCCAGUAGUCAAAGCAGAAAAUGAUGAAUGUCAUAGAUUAGAUAAAUAGUUUAUUCUAUAAAUGAAAAUGUAAGCAUUCCACCUCAAGAGUAAUUUGGCAACAUUGGAACUGAAAUCAUUAGACCGUUUCUGAAACCAGUAGUGAAGUAUGUUGUUUAAUUUGAUGAUCCGCAAAAAACCUUACCACAAUUUGAAUAUUUAUAUCUAUCUUUUUUUUCGUAAAUAAAUAAAAAGGUAAUAUAUUUACAAGCGUUGCACGGCUGUCUUCAGUUAAUGUCGCGAGACUUUGGUUAGUUCCAUUAAAUUAACGUAAACCCUUACUUUAUUUUUAUAUGAAGUAGUUCCCCGCUAUAUUGGAUAUGAUAACAGGGACUAAGACAAGUCAUCAUGGCCUAAAUAUUGU